GCAGCGAUGACCGCCAAUUGGCGCGAGACGCGGAGGCGGGAAACAAACGGCAGCUAACGGCUGACCGCGGUGGCUGAGCCGUUAAUACAGCACGCGCUCCCCCGCCGCCAGGUAAUAUGCACCAUAAAGCCUGCAUUAAGCAACAAGGUCAGAGAGGAAAUAGCCCCCACCCCCGCCCUAAGCAUGGAGGCUCCUGCUGCGCUAUACACACCCCAGAGAGGCGCUCCCCCCAGGGUGACAUUCGGGAAACGUGAUAAUUCUGUUCAUCACAAGUGUGGUUUGCACCUCUUACGCCAAUUAAACUGCAAGACAGGCUGCGUUUCAUACAUCACCCAGCCAAUGCAGCAGGCGUACUGCUGCCAUGGUGAUGGGCGCUGCCAGCAACCGCCAGGCCACACUCUGCCAGGCUGCCCAGUCGCCCUCCGGCACGGCUCUCGAGAGCGACCCGCAGCACACCCCCCAGACAGCGAUGACUCGUCUGGGCCCCCAUAAACACUGAGCUGCUCCCCCAGGGAGUGGAAAAUAAAUAAAUAUCCGGAGGCCGGAUUUUAUCAGUG